rnacentral:rRNA from 1 species
UAAUACGGAGGGUGCAAGCGUUGUUCGGAAUUAUUGGGCGUAAAGCGCGCGCAGGCGGCCAUUUAAGUCUGAUGUGAAAGCCCCGGGCUCAACCUGGGAAGUGCAUCGGAUACUGGGUGGCUUGAGUACGGGAGAGGGAAGCGGAAUUCCGAGUGUAGGGGUGAAAUCCGUAGAUAUUCGGAGGAACACCAGUGGCGAAGGCGGCUUCCUGGACCGAUACUGACGCUGAGGCGCGAAAGCGUGGGGAGCAAACAGGAUUAGAUACCCUGGUAGUCCACGCCGUAAACGAUGGGUACUAGGUGUCGCGGGUAUUGACCCCUGCGGUGCCGAAGCUAACGCAUUAAGUACCCCGCCUGGGGAGUACGGCCGCAAGGCUA